UGAAGGUGAUGCCUGACCCGGUGACCAAAUGUUUAACGGCCGCGGUAUCCUAACCGUGCAAAGGUAGCGCAAUCAAUUGUCCCGUAAAUCGGGACCAGUAUGAAUGGCUAAACGAGGUCUUAACUGUCUCUUACAGGCAAUCAGUGAAAUUGAUCUCCCUGUGCAAAAGCAGGGAUAACCACAUAAGACGAGAAGACCCUGUGGAACUUCAAAAACAGCAACCACCCCAAUAUACAUACACACCCACCUCGGGCUCACUUAACCCACGGGCGACUGGUCUGCAUUUUUUCGGUUGGGGCGACCUUGGAGCAAAACAAAACCUCCAAACAUUAGACCAUCCCUCUAGACUGAGAGCAACCUCUCAACGUGCUAAUAGUAACCAGACCCAAUAUAAUUGAUCAACGGACCAAGCUACCCCAGGGAUAACAGCGCAAUCUCCUUCAAGAGUCCAUAUCGACAGGGAGGUUUACGACCUCGAUGUUGGAUCAGGACAUCCUAGUGGUGCAGCAGCUACUAAG
rnacentral:rRNA from 1 species